rnacentral:lncRNA from 1 species
CCUGGGUUCAAGUGAUUCUCCUGCCUCAGCCUCCUGAAUAGCUGGGAUUAUGGGCACGUGCCACCACACCCAGCUAAUUUUUGUAUUUUUAGUAGAGACAGGGUUUUACCAUGUUGAUCAGGCUGGUCUCGAACUCCUGACCUCAGGUGAUCCACCCGCCUCAGCCUCCCACAGUGCUGGGAUUACAGGUGUGCACCACUACGCUUGAACUGAUUUUUGUAUUUUUAGUAGAGAUGAGGCUUCAUCAUGUUGGCCAGGCUGGUCUUGAACUCCCGGCCUCAAGUGAUCCACCCACCUCAGCCUCCCAAAGUACUAGGAUUACAGGCGUGAGCCACUGCACCCAGCCCCUACUUGAGUCUUAAGAUGAGACUGAAGGCCUGUCUGACAGUUUUACUGCAAUCUCAAAAGAGACCUUGAGCCAGAAAGAUCCAGCAAAGCCACUCUGGAUCCCUGAGCCACUGAAACUGUGAGGAAUGAACGUUCCCAAAUUGGAGCUGUCCAGCAAUAAGGUGGAUUGCCUUUGAGGAAGCUGAGUUCCUUGCCAUAGGAAGUAUUCAAGCAGAAAGGUACAAAGACUCAACGACAGAGUGCCAGAGAGGAUGUCUUAUGGAGAUGGUUGACAUAAACCUCUCUAACUGCAUGGGCUAGAAGGGAUCCAGGAAGCCCCCUACAAACCAGCAACUCAGAGAGGUUCAUUAACUUGCCGAAGGCCACAAAGCUGUUAAGUGUUCAAACAGAUGGCGUCAAACCAGAUCUUUAGCCUCAGGGACCAGAGCUCUGCAGCCUGGAGGGGACCUUCUGCAGCAUCAUUGCACAGAAGACAUCAAUCAAUCAGUCUUUCAGUGGCCUUACAUUUUUCUCCACUUGCAGGUUAUGGGUCACCAUUUUACAAAUUCCUCCAGGACAGAAAGAAACUGUUUCUCCUGCCUGUUCUUUCCCAGCCCAGGCUGUCACCGGGGAUCCAAAUGUCAGGCUUUAUGCAAGUUCUCGAUGUUGGAACCUCUCAUGAAAAGUGGAGUGAACAAGAGGGAAAGUGGGCAAACCUCAGGCCUCACAGCUUUAAUGCCACCAAUGCAUUUGCUUCCGAGCAGGGAUAGGACAUUCUGUUGGCUUCCAGGAAUUCCUGGCAUUCCUUGGCUUGUAGCCACAAGACAUUAUAAUCAUCCUACGAAGGGGGUACUAAUAUUAUUCCCACUUUACAGAUGAGAAACCUAAGAGAAAAUAAGCAACUUGCCCACUGUGGGCCACUUGACUCUCAAGUUUUUGUCGGGACACUGUGUUGUUUCUGAGACAAUACACGGGAAGUACUUUCCACAAUGCCUAAUAAAUGUUAGGGGUUUCAUGCACCAAGCUCAGCGCCAGAGACUGGACAGACAAGUAUGAGCAGGGAAGAAUCCCUCCUUCCCUGUGGUUACCGUAUUUUAAAGGGAAUAAGCAGGGCACAGUGGCAUGUACCUGAAAUGCCAGCUACUGUAGAGGCUGAGAAAGGAGGAUGGCUUGAGGCCAAGAGUUCGAGACCAGUCUGGGCAACACAGUGAGACCUCAUCUCUAAAAAUAAAUACAUCAAUAAUAGCCAGGCAUGGCAGAGCAUGCCUAAAGUCCCAACUACUUGGGAGGCUGAGGUGGAAAGAUCAUCUGAGCCCAGGAGUUCAAUGCUGCAAUGAGCUAUGAUUGUGCCACUUCACUCCCACCUGGGCAACAGAGU